GAUGAACGCUGGCGGCGUGCCUAAUACAUGCAAGUCGAGCGAACGGACGAGAAGCUUGCUUUUCUGAUGUUAGCGGCGGACGGGGGAGUAACACGUGGAUAACCUGCCUAUAAGACUGGGAUAACUUCGGGAAACCGGAGCUAAUACCGGAUAAUAUUUUGAACCGCAUGGUUCAAAAGUGAAAGACGGUCUUGCUGUCACUUAUAGAUGGAUCCGCGCUGCAUUAGCUAGUUGGUGAGGUAACGGCUUACCAAGGCAACGAUGCAUAGCCGACCUGAGAGGGUGAUCGGCCACACUGGAACUCAGACACCGUCCAGACUCCUACGGGAGGCAGCAGUAGCGAAUCUUCCGCCAUGGGCGCAAGCCUGACGGAGCAACCCCGCGUGCGUGAUGCAGGUCUUCGGAUCGUCAAACUCUGUUAUUCGGGAAGAACAUAUGUGUAAGUAACUGUUCACCCCUUGACGGUACCUAAUCAGAAAGCCACGGCUAACUACGUG
rnacentral:rRNA from 1 species